AAAAUAAAUGAAAGAGAAAGAGGUUAUCAGAAUAGAAGGGCAAAAGAAGAAAUCACGUCUAUCCAGCUAGGGGAGGAUGAAAAACAAUGUACGUAUGUGGGGGAAGCAUGCUAGAAGAAUUAGUGAAUGGCUUAAUUGCAACGCUGAGGAGAAAUAAGUGUUGAUCAAGGAUGAUCUUGAAGCUUUGAUGUCUCCAAAUCCAUGGUGUUUUAUGGAAGGUUGAAGUUGC
rnacentral:lncRNA from 1 species